rnacentral:rRNA from 1 species
AGAUUAAGUUAUUAAGGGCGCACGGUGGAUGCCUUGGCACUAGAAGCCGAUGAAGGACGUUACUAACGACGAUAUGCUUUGGAGAGCUGUAAGUAAGCGUUGAUCCAGAGAUUUCCGAAUGGGGAAACCCAGCAUGAGUUAUGUCAUGUUAUCGAUAUGUGAAUACAUAGCAUAUCAGAAGGCAGACCCGGAGAACUGAAACAUCUUAGUACCCGGAGGAAGAGAAAGAAAAAUCGAUUCCCUGAGUAGCGGCGAGCGAAACGGGAAGAGCCCAAACCAACAAGCUUGCUUGUUGGGGUUGUAGGACACUCUAUACGGAGUUACAAAAGUAUAUAUUAGACGAAUCAUCUGGAAAGUUGAAUCAAAGAAGGUAAUAAUCCUGUAGUCGAAAAUAUAUACUCUCUUGAGUGGAUCCUGAGUACGACGGAGCACGUGAAAUUCCGUCGGAAUCUGGGAGGACCAUCUCCUAAGGCUAAAUACUCUCUAGUGACCGAUAGUGAACCAGUACCGUGAGGGAAAGGUGAAAAGUACCCCGGAAGGGGAGUGAAAGAGAACUUGAAACCGUGUGCUUACAAGUAGUCAGAGCCCGUUAAUGGGUGAUGGCGUGCCUUUUGUAGAAUGAACCGGCGAGUUACGAUUUGAUGCAAGGUUAAGCAGCUAAUGUGGAGCCGUAGCGAAAGCGAGUCUGAAUAGGGCGUUUAGUAUUUGGUCGUAGACCCGAAACCAGGUGAUCUACCCUUGGUCAGGUUGAAGUUCAGGUAACACUGAAUGGAGGACCGAACCGACUUACGUUGAAAAGUGAGCGGAUGAACUGAGGGUAGCGGAGAAAUUCCAAUCGAACUUGGAGAUAGCUGGUUCUCUCCGAAAUAGCUUUAGGGCUAGCCUCAAGUGAUGAUUAUUGGAGGUAGAGCACUGUUUGGACGAGGGGCCCUUCUCGGGUUACCGAAUUCAGACAAACUCCGAAUGCCAAUCAAUUUAACUUGGGAGUCAGAACAUGGGUGAUAAGGUCCGUGUUCGAAAGGGAAACAGCCCAGACCACCAGCUAAGGUCCCAAAAUAUAUGUUAAGUGGAAAAGGAUGUGGCGUUGCCCAGACAACUAGGAUGUUGGCUUAGAAGCAGCCAUCAUUUAAAGAGUGCGUAAUAGCUCACUAGUCGAGUGACACUGCGCCGAAAAUGUACCGGGGCUAAACAUAUUACCGAAGCUGUGGAUUGUCCGUAGGACAAUGGUAGGAGAGCGUUCUAAGGGCGUCGAAGCAUGAUCGCAAGGACAUGUGGAGCGCUUAGAAGUGAGAAUGCCGGUGUGAGUAGCGAAAGACGGGUGAGAAUCCCGUCCACCGAUUGACUAAGGUUUCCAGAGGAAGGCUCGUCCGCUCUGGGUUAGUCGGGUCCUAAGCUGAGGCCGACAGGCGUAGGCGAUGGAUAACAGGUUGAUAUUCCUGUACCACCUAGUAUCGUUUUAAUCGAUGGGGGG